AAAAUUAAAUAAGCAAAGCCGGAGACAGCAGGUGCUAAUGCUUAAUAUCCUGCCGAGGUAAAAGCUCUAUGAAUGGAAGUGACGCAGAAAAUUGUGUAUCACUGUAGUUGCAAGAGUCUUGAUACUGAACCCCGGCUGAGAUAGCUGGGGUUUAUUGUUUGCCCU
rfam:Nostoc sp. NIES-3756 DNA, complete genome.